CAUUGAUACAUUUUUUCCAGUCGUCAUAUGGCGUCCACCUGAGUGACUUUAGUGGACAUGUAUAGUUUCCAACUAAGGCACGCGGUGAAUGCCACGUGGCAAUUCUGGGAUUCAGAAGGUUGGU
rnacentral:precursor_RNA from 14 species